AACGCACCUUGCGCUCCCUGGUAUUCCGGGGAGCAUGCCUGUUUGAGUGUCAUGAACUCUUCAACCCAUCAGUUUCUAGUGAACUGUGUGGUGUUUGGAUUUUGAGCGUUGCUAGUCUGACUAGCUCGUUCGUAAUACAUUAGCAUCUCUAAUUCGAAUUCGGAUUGACUCAGUGUAAUAGACUAUUCGCUGAGGACACUUUUAUUAGUGGCCGGACUAGAAACCAGUAGAAGCUCCCAACUAUUGUAGUCAUUUCUAUUUUAGACCUCAGAUCAGGCAGGAUUACCCGCUGAACUUAA
rnacentral:misc_RNA from 1 species